CACAAGCUAAAAUUAACAAACUGAUAUUCACUUAGAAAAUAUCCGUCGACGGGUCUCAUCGCUGCUCUCUUCUUGACUUGGCUUGUAUGGUAAUAGCAGCCCUGUUUGUAACUGUCAACAUGUUACUCCAGAUCCUCUUUCUCUCAGGUGCUUUGGCUGCUUGUCCCUAUAAAGCACACCUCUCCAUUACUGCACCACAAGAGAUGGAAGCACUAAGUGGAUCUUGUCUACAAAUCCCAUGUAACUUUAGUGCUGUACCAGAACAAGAUAUUGAUGGAAUAAGACAAGUUGGAAUUUGGAUUAAAAAUCACCAUAACUAUAACACACAUCCAAACAAUGUGAUUUUCAACAGUGGUAAGACA